rnacentral:rRNA from 1 species
UAGGGAAUCUUCGGCAAUGGACGGAAGUCUGGCCGAGCAACGCCGCGUGAGUGAAGAAGGUUUUCGGAUCGUAAAGCUCUGUUGUAAGAGAAGAACGAGUGUGAGAGUGGAAAGUUCACACUGUGACGGUAUCUUACCAGAAAGGGACGGCUAACUACGUGCCAGCAGCCGCGGUAAUACGUAGGUCCCGAGCGUUGUCCGGAUUUAUUGGGCGUAAAGCGGGCGCAGGCGGUUAGAUAAGUCUGAAGUUAAAGGCUGUGGCUUAACCAUAGUAGGCUUUGGAAACUGUUUAACUUGAGUGCAAGAGGGGAGAGUGGAAUUCCAUGUGUAGCGGUGAAAUGCGUAGAUAUAUGGAGGAACACCGGUGGCGAAAGCGGCUCUCUGGCUUGUAACUGACGCUGAGGCUCGAAAGCGUGGGGAGCAAACAGGAUUAGAUACCCUGGUAGUCCACGCUGUAAACGAUGAGUGCUAGGUGUUAGACCCUUUCCGGGGUUUAGUGCCGUAGCUAACGCAUUAAGCACUCCGCCUGGGGAGUACGACCGCAAGGUUG